CCUACGGGGAGCAGCAGUGGGGAAUAUUGCACAAUGGGGGGAACCCUGAUGCAGCGACGCCGCGUGAGUGAAGAAGUAUUUCGGUAUGUAAAGCUCUAUCAGCAGGGAAGAAAAUGACGGUACCUGAGUAAGAAGCCCCGGCUAACUACGUGCCAGCAGCCGCGGUAAUACGUAGGGGGCAAGCGUUAUCCGGAUUUACUGGGUGUAAAGGGAGCGUAGACGGCAGUGCAAGUCUGGAGUGAAAGGCGGGGGCUCAACCCCCGGACUGCUCUGGAAACUGUACGGCUGGAGUGCAGGAGAGGUAAGUGGAAUUCCUAGUGUAGCGGUGAAAUGCGUAGAUAUUAGGAGGAACACCAGUGGCGAAGGCGGCUUACUGGACUGUAACUGACGUUGAGGCUCGAAAGCGUGGGGAGCAAACAGGAUUAGAUACCCCUGUAGUC
rnacentral:rRNA from 1 species